rnacentral:tRNA from 1 species
CGUAGCUCAGUUGGCUAGAGCGUAGCUAUACUAAAGCCUUCUUUCUGGCGUGGGUUCGAAUCCCACCG